CGAAGAAGAAAGGAAAAAUGGAAGUGGAAGAAGAGGAGGAGCCAAGCCACAAUAUUUAGCUGAGGUGGGCCUCCGGUGUGGCCAGGCAGUUCAGCCUUGCCGUCAACCCUCCAUGUGAUGAGUCCGCAGAAAACGACACGCCGAUUUAUUUGAAGUCAAGGACGGAGAUUAAAACGGCCUU
rnacentral:lncRNA from 1 species